UCUCCUUCAACGGCGCUCUCACCGUUCACACUCUCCGACUCUAUCUCUCUCGUUAUCGUUUUCAAAAGAAACCUCUGUCUCUCUCGAUUCAACAGCAAAGAAACGCGGUUGUUAUGCUCUCGCUUGGUCUCUCACGGCGAAUCGACAGAGAUGUAGCAUUGUAAAAGUUAAACAGAAACGAAUGCGCUCUCAUACCCAAUCAACCGGUCUCCAUUGCGAAUCGUAUGACGCAAAACGAUCACGAUUGCGUAUGGAUCAUUCUCGGUCUUUCCUUUUCCUCAAAUCGAAGUGAAACAAAUAUAGUAAAGGCGGAGCAAUGCGAAAGUUGAACAAAGGCGAGUGUGCCCUCACGCCGAAUCGACCGGUAUCCAUUGCGAAUCAAGUGAUGUAAAACGAUCACGAUUGCAUUUGGAUCAUUCUCGGUCUUCAAGUGUAAAAACUGAAUGCAGAAAAAAAAUGAAGCCUCAGCGGUAAAGAGUUCUAGCUUGAAGCCAGUGUCUCUGUUAGCUUUCAUCGGUGGUUAACGUGAAUAUCUAAACAAGGCAUCAGAAAGAAAUAAUAACUACAAACUUAAGGAGAAAACAAGUGAUAAACACGAGAAAAACCUUAUCUUACAGUCAACUCUAAAUCUACUAUGCUGUUUGGUUUUUUUUAUGUCUACAUCAGAACAACAAUAGAAUGAGGCAGCAGCGUGGCAAGGACAUGUCAGCAGACUUCCUUUUGUUGUUUUUUUUUAUGGAUAGCAAAGCCUUGGGCGAGUCAUGAACUUUGGGCCUGCAUAAACAAAAUCCUGCUGAUUUUUAUCUUGCUUGAAUCAUGUAAAUGGGCCUUGUGCUUUAAACAAUUCUCCUGACUUUUCUUUUUGAUUCAAGGUAAACUUCAUGGAGCAUGGUAAAACUUGGGGAAAGAACUUGCUUAAGACAUGAAGGUCAAAUGCUUGAAGACUUGUUGCAAAAGCUAAAAAAAAGGAUUAGAAUCAGAUUUUGUUAUGUAACUUGAAAAGUUUUGUCGCUUUUGGUUUAGAUUUUGGGACUUUACAAAAGCUAUAUAUUCUUUGUAAGUUUAAGGAGUUUCUCUUGUAAAUUCACUAAAGAAACUUUUCUUGUGAAUUUUGUCUUUUGGAUUCUUGAAUCAAAUACUUGCCAUUCUUUUGCAAAUUGACACUCAAUUCCAAAUUCUUUAUGUAAAGAAACGUAAUUUCAUCCAUAAACCAAUGAACAUGACAAAAUAAUUCUUAAAUGGAUGAUUGAAUCAGCAUCUUUGAUAAAUGAAGCCCUUAAUCCUUAAAGGGGUGUUUAGGUUCAACCCUUUGACUAAAUGACUUCCAAUGGAAUGUCUUGAUCAAACGAAGAACUUAUGUCAAUCAAAAUUUCACGAUCUUAUGCACUACAUUCUCUUUUAAGCCAAUCGUCAAAUAUAAU